UCCGAGCUCAGUACCGAAAAGUAUGACCUUGAAGAAGAUACGUGGACCGAGAUCCCUGAGAUGAAGUUCCAUUCAGGUUACUUAAAAGCAGAAGUGAUCGACAACAGGAUCUUUGUCAUCAAUAGAUUUUCUAAGAAGGACGACUUCUUCCCCCACGUCGCAUGUUUCAAUGGCGAGGAAAUUCAAUGGUACCUGGCGGCAGACAUGAAUGUUUAUAGACACUUUAUGUCGACUUGUGUCAUCAAGAACCUACCAAAUGCAAGUGAUUACGCCUACAGACAAGGAGACAAAUUAAUGAAUGAGAAACGUAAAAAAAUGUUGAAUUGGGAAUGUAACCGUCCUUACACACACACUCGUCCUUCUGCUGAUGUAGCCACGAUUUCAAACCCAGUAGCUAGGCCGGCGCUGUUGCAAUUAAAACGUUUGUUAGUUCGGUGCGCGGAAAGGGUUAAAGGUUUCUCAUGAUAUCUUGAUAUAGGGUUAGUCGGUGGGCAAGGAUCUCUGACUCUCAGAGAAUAUACAGUGGAGGCCUUAAUUGGAGCCGCGCUCGCGUGAGGGUAGAGAAGUCGUUGAGCUAGUAAAAUUUUGACGAAACAGUUGUUGUUGUUGUUGAAAUCACUCAAUUUAUUCACGGAUUAUUUCACACUGAUGCAAAGACACAAUUAUGUUGAUAUUUAGGCAGUGCAAUGUAUCGGCCGUUUUUGUACUGAAAAUUUGCGAGAAGAACACGUCUGCACGACUUGAAAUCCAACACUUUAGAGAGCGCCGCAGCAACACAAGCGCGCUAUCACUGUCUUAAAUUUUGAAUUGAAUACGGCGAUCCGAUUCGUCCCCCAAAAUCACCCCAUAACGUCGGGAAACGCUCAGAAAAGCCAUAUUCGAAUUUCAUUGGUCCCAAUCGCAGUAAGGCGACUGUUCUAGGGCAACCGUUAUUCUAUAUCUGGAAAGGCAUAAGUUUUCGCCUCGUAUACAAAUUUUACGAGUUCGAAAGCUUUGUGAAUGUCACGCCACCUCUAGACGCAAGGUCUGGAACAAAGACGUUCAAGAGACUGAUUGCCGCUACUCUCUUCCAAUUUAAUACAUUAAACAAUGCCAAAAUUCAUAAAAUCAAUCACAUUUGGAUGAAGUAAGGCGUUCCAAAUAUAAUCUUAUCACGCCUCCUUCGUUUGUAACAACCGGAGAAAUGUGCCAAAGCCUGGUUAUCUUUUCAUCUCAAGGUUCAGUCUGUUAGGGAAUCGAACUAUGAACUUGAACUGGCACAGGAAAAUAAGUAGUUUGCAGUUGAUUACAAACACGACGAACACUUUAAUUUUAAUUACUUUCCUUACGAAAAUAAUGUAGAAAAUUAGGAAUUGAUGUACAACCUACAAAAAAAUAAAGAGAAAUAUUGUUUGCAGCA